CAGUAGCCGCGGUAAAACAGAGGGUGCGAGCGUUAAUCGGAUUUACUGGGCGUAAAGCGUGCGUAGGCGGCUUCUUAAGUCGGAUGUGAAAUCCCUGAGCUUAACUUAGGAAUUGCAUUCGAUACUGGGAAGCUAGAGUAUGGGAGAGGAUGGUAGAAUUCCAGGUGUAGCGGUGAAAUGCGUAGAGAUCUGGAGGAAUACCGAUGGCGAAGGCAGCCAUCUGGCCUAAUACUGACGCUGAGGUACGAAAGCAUGGGGAGCAAACAGGAUUAGAUACCCGCGUAGUCCCCUGUCUCUUAUA
rnacentral:rRNA from 1 species